GCCAGACUCCUACGGGAGGCAGCAGUGGGGGAUAUUGCACAAUGGGGGGAACCCUGAUGCAGCGACGCCGCGUGGGUGAAGAAGCGCCUCGGCGCGUAAAGCCCUGUCAGCAGGGAAGAAAAUGACGGUACCUGAAGAAGAAGCCCCGGCUAACUACGUGCCAGCAGCCGCGGUAAUACGUAGGGGGCAAGCGUCAUCCGGAUUUACUGGGUGUAAAGGGAGCGUAGACGGCAGUGCAAGUCUGGAGUGAAAGGCGGGGGCUCAACCCCCGGACUGCUCUGGAAACUGUAAAGCUGGAGUGCGGGAGGGGCAGGCGGAAUUCCUGGUGUAGCGGUGAAAUGCGUAGAUAUCAGGAGGAACACCGGCGGCGAAGGCGGCCUGCUGGACCGUAACUGACGUUGAGGCUCGAAAGCGUGGGGAGCAAACAGGAUUAGAUACCCUAGUAC
rnacentral:rRNA from 1 species